rnacentral:ncRNA from 2 species
AAUAGAAUAUUAGAUUAAUUUAUAUUAGGGAAAAAGGUACAAGCCUUUACAGCCCCCGCUACUGUGAAAUGGACGAAACUAUAAAGGCCACUGUUUGAAAAAAUGGGAAGGUGUAGGAAUAGGAUGAAGUUAAGUCAGGAUACCGAAGUUAAUUAAUUUAUUAGA